GACGAACGCUGGCGGCGUGCUUAACACAUGCAAGUCGAACGGAAAGGCCCUGCUUUUGUGGGGUGCUCGAGUGGCGAACGGGUGAGUAACACGUGAGUAACCUGCCCUUGACUUUGGGAUAACUUCAGGAAACUGGGGCUAAUACCGGAUAGGAGCUCCUGCUGCAUGGUGGGGGUUGGAAAGUUUCGGCGGUUGGGGAUGGACUCGCGGCUUAUCAGCUUGUUGGUGGGGUAGUGGCUUACCAAGGCUUUGACGGGUAGCCGGCCUGAGAGGGUGACCGGCCACAUUGGGACUGAGAUACGGCCCAGAAUCCUACGGGAGGCAGCAGUGGAGAACAUUGCACAAUAGGCGGAAGCCUGAUGCAGCAACGCCGCGUGCGGAAUGACGGCCUUCGGGUUGUAAACCGCUUUCGCCUGUGACGAAGCGUGAGUGACGGUAAUGGGUAAAAAAGCACCGGCUAACUACGUG
rnacentral:rRNA from 1 species